UCCGAAAUUGUCUAGUGGCUAGGAUGUAAGCAGCCUCACCACAUCUCAUUCAUCAAUCACGAUCUAACAAUCAUGCAGUUAUCGCUCUCACCUCCUCACCAGGAAAAGUGCCGAUAAGGCCGGGGUUCGAUUCCCCGUUUCGGAA